AGCUCCAAUAGCGUAUAUUAAUGUUGUUGCAGUUAAAAAGCUCGUAGUUGGAUUUCGAAUGGGAGCGACUGGUCGGCUCCGCAAGGGGUCGCAACCGUGUUGUCUCCGGUUCUCUUUCGGGUAUUUGGUGUAUGGGCUUAACUGUCCGUCGCUGAUCCCGUCGUUUACUGUGAACAAAUUAGAGUGUUCCAAGCAAGGCUUGACUUGAAUACAUUAGCAUGGAAUAAUAAGAUAGGACUUUGGUGGUUCUGCCCUCGGGUAGAUAUUUUGUUGGUUUUGCACGCCAAAGUAAUGAUUAAUAGGAGCAGUUGGGGGUAUUCGUAUUCAAUUGUCAGAGGUGAAAUUCUUGGAUUUCUAGAAGACGAACUACUGCGAAAGCAUUUACCAAGGAUGUUUUCA
rnacentral:rRNA from 1 species